CGGGACACGUGGUAUCCUGUCUGAAUAUGGGGGGACCAUCCUCCAAGGCUAAAUACUCCUGACUGACCGAUAGUGAACCAGUACCGUGAGGGAAAGGCGAAAAGAACCCCGGCGAGGGGAGUGAAAAAGAACCUGAAACCGUGUACGUACAAGCAGUGGGAGCACAGAGCAAUCUGUGUGACUGCGUACCUUUUGUAUAAUGGGUCAGCGACUUAUAUUCUGUAGCAAGGUUAACCGAAUAGGGGAGCCGAAGGGAAACCGAGUCUUAACUGGGCGUUAAGUUGCAGGGUAUAGACCCGAAACCCGGUGAUCUAGCCAUGGGCAGGUUGAAGGUUGGGUAACACUAACUGGAGGACCGAACCGACUAAUGUUGAAAAAUUAGCGGAUGACUUGUGGCUGGGGGUGAAAGGCCAAUCAAACCGGGAGAUAGCUGGUUCUCCCCGAAAGCUAUUUAGGUAGCGCCUCGUGAAUUCAUCUCCGGGGGUAGAGCACUGUUUCGGCAAGGGGGUCAUCCCGACUUACCAACCCGAUGCAAACUGCGAAUACCGGAGAAUGUUAUCACGGGAGACACACGGCGGGUGCUAACGUCCGUCGUGAAGAGGGAAACAACCCAGACCGCCAGCUAAGGUCCCAAAGUCAUGGUUAAGUGGGAAACGAUGUGGGAAGGCCCAGACAGCCAGGAUGUUGGCUUAGAAGCAGCCAUCAUUUAAAGAAAGCGUAAUAGCUCACUGGUCGAGUCGGCCUGCGCGGAAGAUGUAACGGGGCUAAACCAUGCACCGAAGCUGCGGCAGCGACGCUUAUGCGUUGUUGGGUAGGGGAGCGUUCUGUA
rnacentral:rRNA from 1 species